CAAGGAAUGGACGUCCUAAAAUGACCGGAAUCUGAGACUGUGAGUUCGAAGCCGGAUGUGUGUCCAAUACAAUAAAAUCGACAGGAAAGUAGAACUUGUCUACUUGGACUAAUACAUCCUCGAUAAUCUCCCUUGGAAUUUUAACUGACCUGUCAGCUAAUUGCAAAGUGACGGAGGUUGGCUUCAACUCACCUAAACCAAGUUGCUCAUAUACAGAAUAUGGCAACAAAUUCACACUCGCCCCU
rnacentral:lncRNA from 1 species